rnacentral:rRNA from 1 species
GACAGAGGGGGCAAGCGUUGCUCGGAAUUACUGGGCGUAAAGGGCGCGUAGGCGGAAUGGCAAGUCGGUCGUGAAAUCCUUCGGCUCAACCGAAGAACGUCGAUCGAAACUGCCGUUCUUGAGGAUUGCAGAGGAGACUGGAAUUCCCGGUGUAGCGGUGAAAUGUGUAGAGAUCGGGAGGAACACCGGUGGCGAAGGCGGGUCUCUGGGCAAUUCCCGAGCUGAGGCGCGAAAGCGUGGGGAGCGAACAGG